UCAGCUUAUACAAUUGUGGGGGCUAGCAAGUCUGAAGUCCAUAGGGCAGUCUGGAAAGAUCGAGACUCAGGCAGGAGUUCAAGUUGCAGUCUUGGGACAGAACUUUUGCUUCUCCAGGAAACCACUGGUUUUGCUCUUAAGAACUUCCAGUCGGUUGGACAAGGCCUGUCCACAGGACUAAGCAUAAUCUCCUUCACUUCAGGUCACCUGAGUGUGGAUGUCAACCACAUCUACCAAACACUCUUCACACUAGGAUUUGUGGUUAGUUAAAUAACUGGGUACUAGAGGCUUUCCAAGUUUGCACAUAGAAGUAAGCACAGCCGGAGCCAUUGAUUACCAUGUUAACUGAAGAAACUGAAAAAGGGGAGGAAUCAUUCAGGCUACGGCCCCAUAGCUCCUCAUGAUAUAGAGGAGGAAGAUGGGACCCAGGAAGGUGAUGUGACUUCUCGAAGAGCACACAGCUGGCUGGGGAAAGAACAACUCAAAGCAGUGUUCUGGCCUUCCAGUGCAAUACCCUUUCCAUGAUCUUACCCUCACACGACUCCAUGUUUCAAGACCAAAACUGUGGGAUUUAAGAGCAUAGAAAGCCCCUUAGGGGUUAUAUGGGCCAAACCUUUCAUUUUAUAAUGAGAUCCAGAGGUAUGAAGCUGUAAGAAUUUUGAUUCCUAGCGAACGACAUUUUCCCCAAUACUACAUAGCCUUUCAUACAAGGCAAAGUUGACAGCACUCAAAGUAAACUUAUCUCAUUAAUUUUUCUGUUUCAGAACAUCGUUUCUAAUAGGAACGAUGUUUUGGAACUGGUUUUCCUACCACUGACUUCUCAUGAGUGUUUAAUGGUCAACAAAACAAAACAAUCAAAAUGGCACCUGUCCAAUUAAUUGAAAGUUGAAUUUGCUGAAUGCCAACCAAUAUUUUUCCUGAAAUUCUUGUGGAUAUUCGCUAGUUAUAAUUCUAGAACAGCCACAUCGAGAAUUCAGCAGCUCACUUAUGGACAAACCUUCCUGCUACAUUACUCACUCUCCCAGAAAACUAUAGCAAUGUCUCCCUUAAUUAGCUCAUAACAAAGUGAAUUCCAACUCUGAUCAAUUUAUGUCACAUUAUAACAAUUGCUUUGGCUCAAUCAGAUAUCAUAAGUCACACUUCUGAAUCCCCUUUGAAGGCAAUCAGGAUAUCCCCCCCAGCGUGUGCCCCCCAGUAUGCCACUUUGGAAUAAGGAUUAUUUUGAGCUGAAGGCACUUGAGACUUGACAAACUCAAGGGGAGGUCUCUGUAUUCCAUGGCUCUGCCUAAGAACAGAGCAUAAAGUUUCCUUCGUGAUGACACAGAGAUGGGUCUGCUUAAAUAACCCUUGUCUGCCAUUAGUGUCUCUCACCAAUUUACCUUCCCCCCAUUUACCUCCCCUAGAAACUGAAAUCCCUCUUUCUUAAAGCCACACAAUCUCUUCUGCCUACCUGCCUCUUCCCCACUCCUAAUUUUUUUUUUUUUAAAUAAAAAGGAAGAAAGAAAAACGAAUAUAAUUUUAUAUGGAGCUCACUGUCUCUCUAGGCAGCAAGAGGUAGAAUGAAGUCUGUGGGUCCGCACAUUCUCUGAAACAACAGUGAAGGAAAAAUAAUGUACCAAAUUCUAUUUAUUUUCACAGCCAAUUCUCUUCCCACAGAAUCGAGGUCUAGAAUCCUGAUAUCAAAUUUAACAAUACCAAAUUCUUUAUUUUCCAGGAUAAAGAGGUUUGGGAAAUGGCCAGUGGAAUUUUCCAGUUCAGUUAGCCACAGUGGGGAGCGUACUUAGUUACACAAUCGCGCUGAAGUUUAGUAAUGAGCAUCACCAUGGAAAAUUAAUAAAUUUUCCCAUUUAUAGCCCAGCCCACUCAAGUAAUUGUCAAUUAAAGCUACAAUCAAUACCGAGGUAAUAGCUCAUGAACAAGGAUAGUUGGGUACUUACUUCAUUAAUGUCGCAAAUCGAUGUCGACCAUUUGGGAGUAAGUGCAAAGAAAUGAGCUCAUACACUGGAGGUAAUCAUAUUUGGAGAAUUUGCUGGCUAGAACUGGACUUGGGGAUCAGAAUCAGCAAAUAGGCAAAUGUCAAGGAAUGGCCCAAUCUGAUUAGUAAAGUGUUCUGGUUCCUAGAUGGUUCCUCGAUGCUGAAAUCUUUUGAAAGGACCUGAGUCGCCUUUCUGAUACCUAGAGCACUGAUUGGUUUCCUGUUCACCUUGAGUCCAUGAUAGGUUAUCCAUGUUCUUCUUCUGUUACUAAAAAAUGACUACUAAAUUAUAUCUUCCAUAUUCCUUUGUAGCACCAGGCAAUCCUCCCUGAGCUAGGACUGUUUGUUCAACAGGUGGACCGUUAAGAAGCUCAUGUCUCUAGCAUAAUCUCUUUAGGGUCUGCAUCUGUUGGCACAGUGUCUUUGCCCUACCCGCACCCUCCAGCUCCUCCUUCCCUCGCACUACAAUAGCACUUAAAACAAAUACAUACAUAAUAGGAAGUUAGAAUGUAUUCCUAACCCCAAAACAAUUAUUAAAUUAUAUGCCCAAUGGAAGAAGCCUGAUCACAUGCAGAGUAUCCCAAACUAUGUACGGUUGUUGACUUUCCAAUCUAAGCGGAACACAGUACAAAUCUAGCGCAAUAAUCGAACUGAUAAAUUCCACCACCUCCUCAUUGUCAUCCAAAGGAUUUAUUUUCUUGACCUCAUUGCCUGAGAAUUUAUGGGUGUCUUUCUUGCCUCCUAUUCGUCACCAGAAUGUGCAGCCCGUGGCGUCGAUGGUUCAGAUGUGAGCAUCUCACAAAACCCUCGUAACUCUGUGUGAAGAAGAGAGACACGGUGACAGGGCUGGGGCACAGGGGCAGGAGGGGAUUUUCAUGCCAACCUCGUAGACUGGAGGCUCGACAACGUUCCACCUUCCGCAACCCUUGCUGGCUUCUGAGGUAUUUCAUGAAGCUCCUGUGUUUCAACCACUUCCACUUGGGGCUUGUGGCAAAGCAGAUACAUGGACCAAGUGGAAAUCGUAGGUUAAGACUAUGGGAAGCAGCUGCCCUCGGAGCCCUCAAUGUGGGAGCAUCUCUUUAGUAGAAAAAUGGAGAAGAGGGCAGGAACGGGGGGGGGGGGGAAUGAGUGCUUAUUGGGCUCCUAUUCCUAGUGUCAGACACAGAGCCUGAUCCCCCAGGAACAUCAUGUCAUGGAAACAGCUCACAGCAAGGAAGUAGGAGACAAGAUUUAGAACCCAUCUUGUGUGGCCUUGGAGAAGUCAUUUAACCUUCACCGAGCCUCCAUUUUCCCAUCUGCAAGCGCUAUCAGGAUCCAGCAAGUGCUUAGAAGGUUUGCGUCCAGGAUAUGGCAAGGCCAGAUCCAUCUCUUGCUUCAAGUCUCAGCUCAAAUGUUCUCAUUUGAGAGGCUCAUCUCCCCAUGAGAGAACCACCACUGACGGCCCCUCCUCCACCACUAUGGAUUGAAUGGCCCUGCUUUCUUUUCCUUCCUACCACUCAUGUUGAGUCCAGGUUCCCACACAGACUACUGCAAUAGCCUGCUGAUUGUACCAAGCCAAAUUUAUUGCUUUUGUGCCCUAAGAGAUGCUAUCACUUUGAUGGAAUCAUAGAAGCUUCUCAGAAGGAAGAGGUCAAGAGUGGAAUAUUGAUAGGAUUUGGAGGGUCUAGCGUAAGACGGAUCUUUCAAUGGGGAGUCCCGAUUAGAGCUGUGCAAAACGUAUGACAUAAUAGUCAAGGACUAACACAGCGAGCUGUGGGCUUUGGAGGGGACCUUGAUGAAUAUGCAGCCCAGUUGGGUUGUUCAGGGAAGGGGCCCACUACCCUGAUCUGCCGUUCUGAUAAAUGGGUUUUCAGCAAGUUCCCAACACAAACAGAGUAACACGGUUUGCAGCUUUGUCUUUUGGGGGCUGGAAUUUUCCAGAACAUUGCAGUCAUGUGAAUGCUGAGUGCCAAAUAGUUUAAUUGCAUUAGCAUGAACAGUAAGCUGUGUGGCUGCAAGUUUUCAUUCUCAUUCAUAACUAUACGAAAUUAUUAUGUUUAUCUAUUUACUCUUUUGUUGUCUGUCUCCCCACCACCACUGUAUACACGAAUACAAUUUCAUAUGAAUGUAAGUCUCUAUCCUGUUCAUUUCUGCACCCGCAGAACCUGCAAGUGGCCACCGACCAUAAAAUUUAAAGAAAAAUCAGGACUUUGCCAGGUUUCAGCACCAGAGGCCACAAGGCUGAGCUCUGGCUUGUCUGUUGCUGGCUGAAGUCUAAACCCUCUUCUUCUGUUCUGCAGACGUCUCUACGUGGCACUGUGGGGGUUGCGUUUGGACCAAGGGUGCUCCCAUGGCCAAAAGGGCUUCAUUCAUUUAUUUAUUUGCUUGAUCGAUAAGCAUUUCUGGAAUCCCUCCUAGGGGGCUGGCACGGUUCAGGGUGUUGGCGCAUCAAGCUUUGGAUGGCUAGCUGCUAUCUGCAAAACGGGGGGGUCUGAGAAGCUCUGUUCCUCUCACCCCCCACAGGCUGGGAAUGACAGUGAGCACUUUUCAGCCAAUAAAAGACCUGCUAAUGGAUGAUAUUUAAAGAUGGGUAAAUACAGAGUAGUACGCAUAUAUAGAGAGAGUAAUAUUUAAAAUAAAGUGUUUUAUAUGCACACACACACACACAUACACAUUAUACAUGUAAUGUUAUAGGGGAAAAGCAUAAUAAAAACCGAAUAUUUGGAUGUUUGGUAUAAUCUGACUUUAUAAGUAUAUGACUGACAAUAAAUCACACAUUCAGCGGUACAUGUGGGAUAGACCCAAAUGUUAACGUGUGAGCAUGGGUUAACAAAUCUGGGUGGUAAAAUUAUGACUGGUUUUGAUUUUAUUUGUCAUGUUUCUCUGCAUUUUUAACAGUGAAUGUAUGCUUUUUAAAAAUGGUAUUUGAAAAUGUCACUUUGCUGUUUGAGGGCGGGAAGGGUGGCAGAGUUGCCAAACACAUGAUGCCCAGUUAGAUCUGAAUUUCAGACAAACGCAUUUUUCUAGUAGAAGGACGAACCCAAUAUGACACGGGACAGAGGAGCGCUAAAAGGCGCUCAUUGUGCUUGUCUGAGAGUCCCAUUUCACUGGGCGCCCUGUGUUUUCAUUUGUUAAAUCUGGCAACCCUGGGAGCAGGGGCAGUUCCUCAGUAUCAUCUUGGGAGCUUGCACAAACUUGGUUCUCUGCUCCUCCCCACGCCCCUUAUCCCAUGCCCCCUGCCCCCACACAGCCAGAAUCAGAUGUGUCUGCUGACCUGCCUGUCAACAUUCAGAAUUUGAGGUCUUCUCUUGAGGUUGUCCCAGAGCCGGUGGGAAAAGAGUGGUAUGGUGCGGGGCACUGAAGUCUGACAAAGCCCAGGGGGUGUUUCAGUCACCUCUGUUUGUUCCCUCUGGUAAAAUUUACUGUAUUCCACAUGGUGAGGACACUUUUGGAAGCUGCUGGGCCCUCCCGACCCUGCUCACUGGGCUGUUUUCGUAACUUUCCUGCUCACAAGGGCACUGUUGGGGCGACUCUUCGGGAAAGGGCAAACUGGCUGGCGAUGACGUUCUUGGGGUCCUCUGAAUCCCUGGAUCUCCAACAGGCCCCGGGGUAGGAACAGAAGAAGGUUGCCCCCUCCUGCCUCCAGAGCACAGCUGUUUUGGCAAAGCCACCCAUGAAAGGCCAGGAAGCCGACUGUACUGCCCCAUCCUCUCGGAGAGUCUCACCUCCGUGGCCAUGGAAAAAUGCCUCUCUGCCAGCAGACAAAUGUGUCCAGAGAGAAGGGCCCUCUCUCGGGAAUGAAGCGUCUAUCUGCGUCCCUGGGCUAGUGGCCAUGCCCCAGCCUGGCGCUUCUGGAGAGCUGUGAGGAAUCCACCGCACUGCCCUUUCGGGAGACCACUGUCAAAGACCUAAAAUAACCCCAUGUGGCAAUACCUCACAAAAUAAUGCUAGAGAUGCAAACAACUAAACAUUAGCCGGGAUUUGUAAACACAGACUUCAAAGGGGUGAUAAUUAAUGAGGUGCAGGGCAAAGAGCAACAGAGAAGAAACAGCAGCCUUUUAAACAAGGCCCCCAAACCCCGCAGGCCUCAGUUUCAUCCCCUGCAAAAUGGAUGGGUUGAAUAAGGUGAAAGAAAAGUGCCUUCUAAUUUUGAUGUUCUGGAACAUUAAUUUGGAGAAUUAAUUAGAGGGUUAAUUUCUGAAACAGGGAAGCAGAAAAAUGACUCAAAUAAACCCAAUGUCAUUUACCGAAGCUUGCAUUACAGAGGGAGUGGAGGGAUUGAUACUCCUCUGCUGUUUCCUUGGUGUCAGCCGUUGUAUGUGAGGACCUCUGCUUUAUAACAGCUCGUGGGAAUCAAUAUUAUUUUCUUCACUUAAUAUCCAGGGAAAUGGAGUCACAAGCAGGUUAAGUGACUUUCUUAAGGUCACACAGCUGGCAAGUGCAAAACCAGGAUUUGAACCAAGUCUCUUCUCCUGAACUCGCUGCCUGUCUACCACAUUGUGUAGACUGUCCCUGGUUGUCAGGGUACCUGGACUGGAGCCAAGGUGACCUGUUGCUGAGCUCUUACCAGCACCAGGUGAGGUACAGAGAUGGAGGCAGAGGGAGGUCCAUCCAGAGGGAGUUACUCCUCUGGCUACUGUGAUUAACCAAAAAAUUCUGUAAGUAAGGAAUUGCCUACAAACAAUGGACAGUCACCAGGGACAGACACCAGGAAGUGCUUAUAAGGGCCCCAUUUUCCAAAUUUCUUCUCAUACUUACUGUCUGACCCCUGAAAUAUCUUUAGUAACAUCCAAAGCUUUUUAUUGCGCAUGGAAAAAAUAUAUUUUAAACACUCUGAGUCUUCCCUCCGCAUCCCCUUACUAAGAGAAAAGAAGUAGCCUGGGCAUUUCAGCCACUAAUCAUUUCUCAUGAAUAGGUUUUGACUGGGCAAGUGGGGAGAUAUGUGGGUGGCCCUUUUGCCUGAAUGAAGUCCCUGGGAGAGAAAAAGAGGGGGAGGAAAAGGAGGAGUCAGAAAUUCUUGAUUUCAGAGUAAAUAUUCAAGCAAACUUGAAUGUGAUCAAUUAGAGGAAUUAUUUGGCUACUGUGGGCCCUGAUCUUUGAAGACCACUAAGGGCUAGUCACAAGUAAGAUAUUAAGUAAAAUAUUAGAGACAACCAAAAGCAAAGAAUUUUGUUGGGUAGGUAUAGAAAACCUCCUCUAUUUGUAUGAGCAGGGGCCAAUUGAAUGGUGUCACCCUCUUCACUUGGGGGAGGCAGAUCAUUUUGAAGUAGAUCAAGGGAAGAACCCUUUUGGCUGUGAAAAUGUAAGACCAGAAGGUCUUCACCAUCUUGAACACUUUGGGUGGUGUCCUAAGUUGAGUUCCCCAGGGACAGACUCUGAGAUGAGAGCCAUGAGGAAGUGGUUGAUUAGGUAAGUGCUUCCAAAGGAACUGGGUGAGGAUGGGGCAGAAGCUAGACAAGGAAAUGAGGGAAACCAAGAAAGGAUAUGAAGUAGCUUCACCCUGAUCCCUAGGAGGAAACUUGGAAUAUUAAUUUCAUUUCACCUCCAACCUGAGGCAAGGGGCCUGGUGAAGGGCAUGGCAGGACCUUAGUGAAGGGCAGGUAGGGGAGGAUGCUAGAUAUAAAUUCCCAGAUGUUUUUAGCUCUAAGCAAAUGCAGGCCACAUAGUUACAUCCUCAGGGCAGUCCUCUGUAGAUCCUCAGGUGCCUUAACCAAACCUCUCCCUCUGGACUAGUCUCUGGAUUAUGAGUAUAUGAACCAGGUGGACCUAGACCUAAACACUUCCCUUUUGAAGAUCUGAUAAACUGAGAUGGGGUCUCAGUUUAUUGGAUCUGAGUGAAGCCUCCUUACAGGAAAGGAAGUUUAAGUGGGAGGAAAUUCACCAUGAAGACAAGGUAGCAUAGGUUUGUAGAUGCCACAAUUAAAUUAUCUACCUUGGCACCGUGGGUUCACUUUGGGACAUUGGCUGAAUGUGUGAGUGGGACAGUUAUAACCUCAGGAGUCCAAAAGUAGCAUACACAUACACAUGCAUAAUACUAAGAUCCUAAGAUCACCCUCAAACAUCUCCUAUAGUCUCAGCUACAAGGUAACAUUAUGGGAGGAGGAGGCAACAUUGGGCUGGGAGAGCCACAUCUUUUCAAAGAUGAUAGUCUAAGAUCAUCAUCAUUGCAGUGAUAUGGGAUAAAAAGGCGAAUUUGUUAGUGGACUGGCCAGAUUUUGCAGUUCGUCUCUGUGGAAUAUCUCAAAGCUCAACUAACUAGACUAAACACUGGUAUCUUGGGCAAUACAGCCAGGAGGUUCCAACAAAAAGACAUACUACUUCCUGCUGCUAUGGACAUACGGUGCCUCAAUAUGUUAAUUUAGGUUUUAAAAACAGACCUGGUGAAAUUCUGGUUUUUAGUCCAACAGGUAAAGAGCUUGGAUUUGUCCCUUGUGCCUUUGUGACAAGAAAAAAAGCUGAACCCACUGAAAAUCAACAUCUCUUCUUAGAUCCAGCAGAGAAUUGGGGUCACAGAGGAAAAUGCUCCUCUGAAAACUGGACAGACAGAUGAGUGAGUGAAGAGAAGCAUAGCUUCCAUGGACCAGAAACCCUUCACUGCAGCCAGUAUUGGUAGGAAUAUUCUAAACUAUAACUAGCAAGUUGCUGAGGAUUCGGUGUGGAUUAGCCUGAAAGUCUGAAACUCUGAGAGGGUCCAGUUUGAGGAAGCACUCCCUACCUUAGUGAGUUUUGUCUCUGUGAGUUCUCCCAAGUUCUGAAAGUGAAGAUGUUCUCUCAAGUUCUGAAAGUGAAGAUUGAAGAAAAAUUCCCUCAUGCUUCUGACAGGGGGAGGGGAAAAUAACCAUUCUGAAAUACACCCAGAGCUCACUCUUCCCCUUAACAAGACCUGCCCUCAAGGGAAACUAACUUACAGUGUCUAAUCUACUGUGGUUUUACUGAAGCCUAACCACCCUGGGGAAAGGGAAAAUACCCAACUCAGGUUUACUAAAAACCUAAAAUCUAAUUAUAGGAUGAUAGAAAAAUUCCCCUCCCCCCACACUUAUUACCACAUCAAUCCAGCUCUUUUACCAUAACAGAGGAUUACAGCUACAAGAACUGCAGGCCUCAGACCCUAUUUAAAGUGUCUAGGAAAACCCAAAACAACAAGGGAGACAAAAACAAGGACACUAGGAGGCAUUUUAGUUUUUAAAUCCACAGCUACAGCAAACAAUAAACACUACCUAGCUCUUAGUCAGAUAAACAUAUAACUUCACACUGAAGGCCUAUCUAAUUGAGCUCUUUUCAUGCAAUACAUCAUGUCUGGUUUUCAGCAAAAAAAUGAUAAGGUGAGCUAAAAGAAAAAAAAAA